rnacentral:rRNA from 1 species
GACGAACGCUGGCGGCGUGCUUAACACAUGCAAGUCGAACGGAAAGGCCCUGCUUUUGUGGGGUGCUCGAGUGGCGAACGGGUGAGUAACACGUGAGUAACCUGCCCUUGACUUUGGGAUAACUUCAGGAAACUGGGGCUAAUACCGGAUAGGAGCUCCUGCUGCAUGGUGGGGGUUGGAAAGUUUCGGCGGUUGGGGAUGGACUCGCGGCUUAUCAGCUUGUUGGUGGGGUAGUGGCUUACCAAGGCUUUGACGGGUAGCCGGCCUGAGAGGGUGACCGGCCACAUUGGGACUGAGAUACGGCCCAGACUCCUACGGGAGGCAGCAGUGGGGAAUAUUGCACAAUGGGCGGAAGCCUGAUGCAGCAACGCCGCGUGCGGGAUGACGGCCUUCGGGUUGUAAACCGCUUUCGCCUGUGACGAAGCGUGAGUGACGGUAAUGGGUAAAGAAGCACCGGCUAACUACGUGCCAGCAGCCGCGGUGAUACGUAGGGUGCGAGCGUUGUCCGGAUUUAUUGGGCGUAAAGGGCUCGUAGGUGGUUGAUCGCGUCGGAAGUGUAAUCUUGGGGCUUAACCCUGAGCGUGCUUUCGAUACGGGUUGACUUGAGGAAGGUUGGGGAGAAUGGAAUUCCUGGUGGAGCGGUGGAAUGCGCAGAUAUCAGGAGGAACACCAGUGGCGAAGGCGGUUCUCUGGGCCUUUCCUGACGCUGAGGAGCGAAAGCGUGGGGAGCGAACAGGCUUAGAUACCCUGGUAGUCCACGCUGUAAACGGUGGGUACUAGGUGUGGGGUCCAUUCCACGGGUUCCGUGCCGUAGCUAACGCUUUAAGUACCCCGCCUGGGGAGUACGGCCGCAAGGCUAAAACUCAAAGGAAUUGACGGGGCCCCGCACAAGCGGCGGAGCAUGCGGAUUAAUUCGAUGCAACGCGUAGAACCUUACCUGGGUUUGACAUGGAUCGGGAGCGCUCAGAGAUGGGUGUGCCUCUUUUGGGGUCGGUUCACAGGUGGUGCAUGGCUGUCGUCAGCUCGUGUCGUGAGAUGUUGGGUUAAGUCCCGCAACGAGCGCAACCCUUGUUCACUGUUGCCAGCACGUUAUGGUGGGGACUCAGUGGAGACCGCCGGGGCCAACUCGGAGGAAGGUGGGGAUGACGUCAAGUCAUCAUGCCCCUUAUGUCCAGGGCUUCACGCAUGCUACAAUGGCUGGUACAGAGAGUGGCGAGCCUGUGAGGGUGAGCGAAUCUCGGAAAGCCGGUCUCAGUUCGGAUUGGGGUCUGCAACUCGACCUCAUGAAGUCGGAGUCGCUAGUAAUCGCAGAUCAGCAACGCUGCGGUGAAUACGUUCCCGGG